rnacentral:rRNA from 1 species
UACGUAGGGGGCAAGCGUUGAUCGGAAUUACUGGGCGUAAAGCGGGCGCAGGCGGUUUUGUAAGUCUGGCGUGAAAUCCCCGGGCUUAACCUGGGAAUUGCGUUGGAGAUUGCAAGGCUAGAGUCUGGCAGAGGGGGGUAGAAUUCCACGUGUAGCAGUGAAAUGCGUAGAGAUGUGGAGGAACACCGAUGGCGAAGGCAGCCCCCUGGGUCAAGACUGACGCUCAUGCACGAAAGCGUGGGGAGCAAACAGG